rnacentral:rRNA from 1 species
UACGUAGGGUGCGAGCGUUGUCCGGAAUUAUUGGGCGUAAAGAGCUUGUAGGCGGUUUGUCGCGUCUGCUGUGAAAAUCCGGGGCUCAACCCCGGACUUGCAGUGGGUACGGGCAGACUGGAGUGUGGUAGGGGAGACUGGAAUUCCUGGUGUAGCGGUGGAAUGCGCAGAUAUCAGGAGGAACACCGAUGGCGAAGGCAGGUCUCUGGGCCACUACUGACGCUGAGAAGCGAAAGCAUGGGGAGCGAAUAGG